rnacentral:rRNA from 1 species
UGGGGAAUAUUGGACAAUGGGCGAAAGCCUGAUCCAGCAAUGCCGCGUGGAUGAAGAAGGUCUUCGGAUUGUAAAGUCCUUUCGACGGGGACGAUGAUGACGGUACCCGUAGAAGAAGCCCCGGCUAACUUCGUGCCAGCAGCCGCGGUAAUACGAAGGGGGCUAGCGUUACUCGGAAUGACUGGGCGUAAAGGGCGCGUAGGCGGUUUGUUUAGUUAGGCGUGAAAUUCCUGGGCUCAACCUGGGGGCUGCGCUUAAUACAGGCAGACUAGAGUGUGAAAGAGGGUCGUGGAAUUUCCAGUGUAGAGGUGAAAUUCGUAGAUAUUGGAAAGAACACCGGUGGCGAAGGCGGCGACCUGGUUCAUUACUGACGCUGAGGCGCGAAAGCGUGGGGAGCAAACA